GCGCGAAAACUUUGCAAUGCGGGAAACCGUGACAAGGGAACUCUGAGUGCCCGUUAAAUCGGGCUGUCCAUCGGUUUAAAUAACCGGUGAAGAAAGGGCCGGGCAAGACCGGUGCCAGCCGCCGCGGUAAUACCGGCGGCUCGAGUGGUGGCCACUAUUACUGGGCUUAAAGCGUUCGUAGCUGGUUUGUUAAGUCUCUGGGAAAUCUUCCGGCUUAACCGGAAGGCGUUUCAGGGAUACUGGCAGACUAGGGACCGGGAGAGGUGAGAGGUACUCCAGGGGUAGGAGUGAAAUCCUGUAAUCCUUGGGGGACCACCUGUGGCGAAGGCGUCUCACCAGAACGGCUCCGACAGUGAGGGACGAAAGCUGGGGGAGCAAACCGGAUUAAGAAACCCCGUGU
rnacentral:rRNA from 1 species